rnacentral:rRNA from 1 species
UACAGAGGUCCCAAGCGUUGUUCGGAUUCACUGGGCGUAAAGGGUGCGUAGGCGGUCGGGUAAGCCUGAUGUGAAAUCUCACAGCUUAACUGUGAAACUGCAUUGGAUACUAUCCGGCUCGAGGAAUGGAGGGGAGACUGGAAUACUUGGUGUAGCAGUGAAAUGCGUAGAUAUCAAGUGGAACACCAGUGGCGAAGGCGAGACUCUGGACAUUUCCUGACGCUGAGGCACGAAAGCCAGGGGAGCAAACGGG